UACGUAGGGUGCGAGCGUUGUCCGGAAUUAUUGGGCGUAAAGAGCUCGUAGGCGGCUUGUCGCGUCGGAUGUGAAAGCCCGGGGCUCAACCCCGGGUCGGCCGUGCCGACUGUUAGACUAGAGUGCUGUAGGGGCAGGCGGAAUUCCGGGUGUAGCGGUGGAAUGCGUAGAGAUCCGGAGGAAGACCGGUGGCGAAGGCGGCCUGCUGGGCAGUUACUGACACUGAGGCGCGACAGCGUGGGGAGCAAACAGG
rnacentral:rRNA from 1 species